rnacentral:rRNA from 1 species
GACGAACCGUGCGAACGUUGCUCGGAAUCACUGGGCGUAAAGGGUGCGUAGGCGGGUCUUUAAGUCAGAGGUGAAAUCCUGGAGCUCAACUCCAGAACUGCCUUUGAUACUGAGGAUCUUGAGUUCGGGAGAGGUGAGUGGAACUGCGAGUGUAGAGGUGAAAUUCGUAGAUAUUCGCAAGAACACCAGUGGCGAAGGCGGCUCACUGGCCCGAGUACUGACGCUGAGGCACGAAAGC